rnacentral:rRNA from 1 species
CGGCGAUUAAUCUGAGUGUCUAGUGGGCCAUUUUUGGUAAGCAGAACUGGCGCUGUGGGAUGAACCAAACGUCGAGAUAAGGGGCCCAGACGAGUGCUCAUUCAGACCCCAUCGAAAGGUGUUGGUUGCUAUAGACAGCAGGACGGUGGCCAUGGAAGUUGGAACCCGCUAAGGAGUGUGUAACAACUCACCUGCCGAAGCAACUAGCCCUUAAAAUGGUAUGGCGCUGAAGCAUUCUCCCGAUACUCGACCGCCGGGUGGGCUGUCGGCACCGACCUCGUCCCAGAGGCGAUGAUGCCUCGGAGCCCCGGUGAGUAAGAGGGUCGCAGUGGUGAGCGCUGAAGGGAUCCGGCGUGAGCUGGCCUGGAGCCGCCACUGCUGCAGAUCUUGGUGGUAGUAGCAAAUACUCGAGAGAGAGACUCCCUCGAAGACCGAUGUGGAGAAGGGUUCCAUGUGAACAUCAGUUGGACAUGGGUUAGUCGCUCCUAAGCCCAAGGCUAAGGCCUGAUCCCAUGCUAGCGGC